rnacentral:rRNA from 1 species
AAUGAACGUUGGCGGCAUGGAUUAGGCAUGCAAGUCGAGCGAGAAGUGUAGCAAUACACGGAAAGCGGCGGAAGGGAGAGUAAUACGUGGGAAUCUGCCCUUAGACCUGGGAUAGCAGCGGGAAACUGCUGGUAAUACCAGAUAAUGUCUAUGGACCAAAGGUGUGAUUCCGUCUAGGGAUGAGCCCACGUCCUAUUAGCUAGUUGGUAGGGUAAUGGCCUACCAAGGCGAUGAUGGGUAGCGGAUGUGAGAGCAUGACCCGCCGCACUGGGACUGAGACACUGCCCAGACACCUACGGGUGGCUGCAGUCGAGAAUCUUCGGCAAUGGGCGCAAGCCUGACCGAGCGAUGCCGCGUGCGGGAUGAAGGCCUUCGGGUUGUAAACCGCUGUCGAGGGGGAGCAACUUCCAUAGAGUUAUCUUUAUGGAUUGAGUGAUCCCUGGAGGAAGGACGGGCUAAGUUCGUGCCAGCCGCCGCCGUAAGAC